rnacentral:rRNA from 1 species
UACAGAGGUCCCAAGCGUUGUUCGGAUUCACUGGGCGUAAAGGGUGCGUAGGCGGUCGGGUAAGUCUGAUGUGAAAUCUCACAGCUUAACUGUGAAACUGCAUUGGAUACUAUCCGGCUAGAGGAAUGGAGGGGAGACUGGAAUACUUGGUGUAGCAGUGAAAUGCGUAGAUAUCAAGUGGAACACCAGUGGCGAAGGCGAGGCUCUGGACAUGACCUGACGCUGAGGCACGAAAGCCAGGGUAGCAAACGGG